rnacentral:lncRNA from 1 species
CGCCGCCGCCGCCGCCGCAGCCCCUCGCGCUAACUAACGGUCGGUAGCGGCCCGCGCGCGCCGCCCGCCGGGGGCUCGCGCCAGCCACGAGGGAGCGUCCGCGGCCCGCGCGCCCGCGCGGCGGAGGCGAGGUGAGUCCCGGGUCCUCCAUCCCGCCGAGUGCCCGCCCCCGGUCGCGGCCGGGACUCCUGCCCCUCGAGCGGCGUCCGCGUCCCUUCGUGGACCGGAUGGACGCGGCGGCGCCCCGCGCGCCGCCGGGCCCCCGGCGGGCACGGGCCGGGUGAGUGUCGGGCUGGCCUCUCCUGAGGUCCCGGUCCGCGGGCGGGCGCGCGUGGGCGUAUCCCCUUCACCCACGCGCGGCCCCUUCACCCUUCUCGGCUCUCGUCCAGGAUGCCGUUUUCUGAAAUGGAGCCAUGGAGAAUCCGCAGUUCAUAAUGGAGCUAACUGUACUGGCUGUCGGAAGGAGGAGAUUCUGAAGAUAGGGAGAUUCAGCUGUCGGUCUUUGAAAUUUCCUGUGGUCUGUUCAACCUGGAUGCAGAGGACAUGGAGCAAUCAAGUACGCAAGAGGUCCAAGCGUGUUUUGGAUGUUCCCCUUGAUAGACUGCAGUAUUUUUCCGGUUAAGACCCUCAGCUGUCGUGCAGAAGAAGGUUAUUCUCUUCUUGGUCCAUCCAGUUUCCUUGAAAUGCUUAGUAUUGUAGAGUAUCACCACACAGUUUCUGUUUUCAUCCAAGCAUAGAAAGAAUAAAAUCAAUUCUAUACGUUGACUUCUUUUCCA